rnacentral:rRNA from 1 species
UACAGAGGGGGCAAGCGUUGUUCGGAAUUACUGGGCGUAAAGGGCGCGUAGGCGGCCUUCUAAGUCGAACGUGAAAUCCCCGGGCUCAACCCGGGAACUGCGUCCGAUACUGGAAGGCUUGAAUCCGGGAGAGGGAUGUGGAAUUCCAGGUGUAGCGGUGAAAUGCGUAGAUAUCUGGAGGAACACCGGUGGCGAAGGCGACAUCCUGGACCGGUAUUGACGCUGAGUGAGCGAAAGCCAGGGGAGCAAACGGG